rnacentral:rRNA from 1 species
UCAGUAACGCGUAGUCAACCUACCUUAUGGACGGGAAUACCCUCGGGAAACUGAGUAUAAUGCCCGAUAGAACACUAUACCUGGAAUGGUUUGUGUUUCAAAUGAUUUAUUGCCGUAGGAUGGGACUGCGGCCUAUCAGUUUGUUGGUGAGGUAAUGGCCCACCAAGACUAUUACAGGUACGGGCUCUGAGAGGAGUGGCCCGGAGAUGGGUACUGAGACACGGACCCAGGCCCUAUGGGGCGCAGCAGGCGAGAAAACUUUGCAAUGUGCGAAAGCACGACAAGGUUAAUCCGAGUGGUUUCUGCUAAAGGAACCUUUUGACAGUCCUAGAAACACUGUUGAAUAAGGGGUGGGCAAGUUCUGGUGUCAGCCGCCGCGGUAAAACCAGCACCUCAAGUGGUCAGGAUGAUUAUUGGGCCUAAAGCAUCCGUAGCCGGCUCAGUAAGUUUUCGGUUAAAUCUGUACGCUCAACGUACAGGCUGCCGGGAAUACUGCAGAGCUAGGGAGUGGGAGAGGUA